GUGCCGCGUAGUCCAACAGCGCUGACUGCCGCCGACUGCCCGGGCGCCCGGCAGCGCAUCCGAACGAACGAACGCUACCACACCCGCAAUUCGCAACACGCGGCCGUGUUUACGAACGCUAUUCCAUUUUUAAAUAUUCAAAUUUUUGCGAGUUCUUGAGUGCUGUGUUACAUUUUGGAUUUAUUGUUUGUGAUAUUUUUAAGAUACCGAAGCGGUGCAUGGACUGUUGACUUGGUUAAAUCGAAGACAAAAUGGCGGCAAAUGGGUACGCAGGCCCGAUGCCUGGACACAUCGGCAGAAUUCCCAACUUCGGCAAAAGUAACCUUAAUUCGAUGGGCUCCGUGGAACCGCCAGCAUGCAUCCAAAAUGCAAUGAUGACCAAGGACAAGAAGCCCUUUACAUACACACCGGGAGGAUUGGAUCUCUCUCAAAUACGAACGCCGAGCAUGGCCAGAAGAAUGGCGAGACAACGGUCUUAUGAAGAUCAUGAUCAAGCCAAUCACGCUGGCUACCACCCACAAGGAGGACCCCAAGGAGGAGUUCCGCCUCCUCCGCCACCUCCACCAAAAGUUCCCGCCCCACCACCGCCGCCACCCAUCGUCAUCCAAGCACCGAAUUCCAAUGCACCGAAACCCUUAGCACCUGGUGAAAGACCCAAAAUUGAUAUACCAGAAAACCCAAUUGGUAUGUUGAGGAAAACUCACAGCCCAUACCAUUGGGAGGCUGAGAAAGCCGAAUUACAGAGAAUGGGACCGGUUCCUAAAUAUGUUGAAAAGGUGCCGAGUCCAUUAACUGUUAAAAUGCCUCCAUCAUCAUUCUCACAACAGCAGCCACAAAGCUACACUCCAAAGGGACAAAAUAACUUCCAGCGGACUAAUAGCCAGAAACAUCCUGAUAGUCCUAUUUAUAGACCUGAGGCACAAUACGCUCAUCAGAAAUCAUCUUCCCCGAACAUAAAUGGGUCACCUCCUACAAGGGAGAUUUUGCAACGACAGGACUCUCAGUUCAACAAGAGUCCACAGCCGUUCAAUAACCAGUCGCCACUUAGUAACAAUUCUCCCUACUCUCCCGCUCCUAACAACAACUGGAGGCAGCCAGAAAGGAGAGAUUCACCCGCUAGUGCAAAUAGCAAUACGCAACAAUCACCACAAUUUAACCGCGGUCCCUUUUCACCUAACACACAACAGUAUUCGCCAAACUUCCAAAAUCAAAGUCCUCCAACAAAUUCUGGGCCAGUAUUCCAUACUCUCCCUCGAGCUGGUCAGAGGAACCAAGAUGCGGUUAACAAUGUAAAUUAUAAUAACGUAAGGGAUGUUAAACAACAAAGCCCACAGGUUGAGCCUCAGAGCGCACCCUGGAGAACAAACACUUUGAACAGAUAUCCACGUGAAGCGGAACAGAAACAACCAGCUUACAAUAAUCAGAACGCUAAUGUCCAACAGCAAUAUAAUGCACCAUGGAAAUCAAAUGAGACUAACAAUAAUGACAAACCUUACGUUCCUCCAUGGGCACAGGAGGGCAAAAAUCAGCAGCAACAAUACACUCCACCCUGGGUCAAUAAUCAAGAUAACAACAAUAACAGAGUGCAAGAAACUACCGCACCCUGGAAAUCACAUGAGGUCGAAAGGUCACCACCAUCAAAGAAUGAAACUCCUCGUUACCAAUCUACCAUAUCAAUACCAGUUACGCCCAGGAAACAAAACACACAGCCAGAUUACAGCACACCUCCACAAAAAGAAGCUGUGUAUGUUAAUCAGGAGCCAGUGUUCUAUUGUCCUGAUAGUCCCAAGUCGAUACCACCGUGGGUAAAGUCACAAAAAGAGAAGACCAAAACUCCACCACCUGCCUGGUGUCAAAGACCGUUGGAGAACGUAAAGAAUGAUCCUAGAGAAUUAGUAACACCUCCGAGGGAUACAAAUACCGAACCAGAAUGGGUGAGAAAAAGUAACGAGAUGCAGAGAGGCGCUCGUGAAGUCGUAAGUCCACCUAAAUACCAACAAACUGCGCAACCAGCAUGGUCGACACGGCCUUCGGAAAAUCGCAAGAGCUUGCCCAAAGAUAAUGCUCCUCAGUCACCGGGAAGUCGAGUUAUUCCAAUUCAAAUGGAGGUGUCAAGCACGGAAACUAGAGAUGCGGGUAGACAAGGACAUCCGCAACCUCAGCUCAGAAUCACUAUUGGAAUGAAUCCGAAUCCUAAUGACCAAGCUCGGGCGCCUUUCUCCCCUCCAACACAACGUAUUAUGCGGGUUCUGUCACCACAGUUAGUGAGAUUAGACGAUGGACAAAUCCAACAUGACUUGCCGACAUUAAAUAGAACUUUCCAGAACCAAGAUCAGCCUAAGACCCGGAUCAUUCCUAUACAAAUUGAAGGAAACGGCGGGGCACAUAAGAGCUUCGGUGGCCGGUACUAAGGGGCUUGUUUGCCGAUCAAAAGUAAACACAUUUUUAUUGCACCGCUUCUGAGUCAAAUGUAUACUACCACAGAUUCACAACCGAAGGAGGUCCGCGGCAAUCCAAGGCUUUCAGAGUGCUGCAAAUCAUCACAGACACGCAAGACGGCGAUGAUAUUCGUAAAAUGGAGAAGCAACACGGCUUCACCGAUGUAUAGUAUUAGAAUUUAAUUAAGAAACGUUUGGAAUAAGUUCUCUUAAAGUUAAUAAAAAUGGUGAAUUCGAAAAUGCUAUAAAUAAUAGAAAGUAUGAACGGGAAAUAUUUUUUGAUAUUGUUUGAGAGUUAAGUAUACUUAUUAUGGCAGAACAUUUUAGUAAAUAGAUGAAGUUGCUGAGAUAAUUUUAGAAAAAUGAUACCAAGAUAAUAAUGGAACGAAGUGUGUAAAAUAAAAAUCGUAGUAUACGAUUCUUAUGAGAAUUUAUUGCAAAGGUAACAUAAUAAUUUAGAAGUAAUGUAUAGAAAAUUGUAUUAAACAUAAACAUAUUCGAUUAAUAUUAUUUUUGUAUAUAAAACGAAACUGCGAAAGGGUUAGUGCUUUGCGUGAUCUUAUACUAAUGCUCAUGGAUACAGCUACCUUACCAAAGAAUGUAUUAGAUAUUUAAUAAAUUAUUCGAUUAGUAUUAUUGAGUAUUCAUAACAUUUAACCUAGGAUAAUGUUAUAUUUUUAUACUGAAAAUACUAAUUUACGUAAUUUAGAUAGAUGGAAAAUAGAUUAAUCCAUCUUCUUGCCGCUUAACGUACGCACAAAUGAUUAAAUAAAUACAUUUAUAAAACAUAAAGGUACAAAUUUUUGUUUGUUAUAUUGAUUAUUUUUGAUGCAUGAACUUCGUUUGAAUCAACAUUUGUAAAUUGUAAUUUCGUUUGUGACUUAACAUUAUAACUAAGUUAUUUAUUUAUUUCUUACAGUAACUUUAUGCUAUAUAACUUCCGAAAAGCUGGGAUUGACAAAGAGAUUGUAAAUUACUUAUAUUAUGUGCAGUAUAUCCAUCUGUACCUAUAAGUUCAAUAUAUUUAAAGUUACCAAUAAUGGUUAGGUUAGGUUAGGUUAGGUUUCGCUUGAAAUUGUGAUUAUAUUUUUAUACAUCCUCUACUAACAAAUUUCUUUGUAUAUUAUUAUUGUUUUUUAUAUAUUUUACCCAAAAUUGUACAAUGUUACUCAGUCAAGCAAAUAAUACAACAACGAUAGAUAUUGGCGGUCAUGGCCAAACAUUGGGACCAAAGACGUUGAUCGAGAAAGUGUUAUGUCAAAUGUUGGCUUAUGUGGCCGAACAUAGGAUAGAAAUUCCUUUUAAUGUGUUUAUUAUACGUUCAUUUAGUAACAUCGUAGAGUUGUUUAAAGCAUUUCCGAGUAACUUUGUACAUAACUAUAUUACCUUAUAUUUCCCUAUAUCUAACUCUAUUAACGUCCGAUAUAUAUUUAUAUAAGUAUGUAUGUACGUGUACUAUGUAUGUAUUUAUUUUGGAAAGAUUAACAUAUGCAACUUUACGAAAACUAACAAAAGAAUCCUGAUUUGUUACUGUGAAAAAUGUCCGUGAUUUCGAAAUGGUUUGUAUUUGUAAUUAACAAAAAUGUAACAUGUUUAUCGAUGUAGUGGUGGAGAUUUUUUACUUUAGAGACCAAGGAAUAAGGGUCAUUCAGUUUCACAUAGGUAUCCUUCUAUGAAAGAAACACCGUAUAAAAGAUGUUGAAAAACGCCAUAGCAGCCGACGUUAAUGGGACCGCGUUCCGGGAUCAGCCUUGUUUAUCCGAUCUAAACAGUGUAACAUAAUUGUGUUAUAUAUGACCCCUACUUCGCUUACCAUCAGGUGCAAUGGAAUCACUUUGCCAUACCAAAAAUGGGUCUCAAUACGUUCUUAUUUGGUUAUUCCUACCGUCAAAUAACCUGGAGGCAUUGUAUAUGGAAAGACUCUCGCAGGAAUCCCACAAAUGCAUACCUAUAGAACAGGGGUGGCCAACUUGGUAAGACCCAAGAUCUACUUUUCACUGAUAAUACUCUGUGCGAUCUACCAAGCUACAUACAUCUUGAAAUCUUAAAUGAAACAACAUAGUUCACAGUACAUAAUUUAUUAUUAUUUUGAUUAAAAAAUUGUACAAGACGAUGCGUGCAGCAGUUAGUGAUUAGGUAUGUUGCGCGGUCUGUUCUACGUAUUUAUAUUUUUGCCUUGCCACGAUCGACUGGCCUUGUUGCGAUCGACCGGUUGGCCACCCCUGCUUUAGAAUGUGUUUGUUAUAUUCUUAACUAGUUUAUCUCGCAGUUCAGCCUUCGUGAAACAUUUUUCGGGAUAAAAGCCUAUGUCCUUUCCAAGGUCUUGUACUAUCUCCAUACCAAAUUUCGUGAACCGUUGGGUAGUUUUUGAGUUUAUUGCACUCAGACGCGGCGGGCGACUUUAUUUUGUAAUACGCAGUGACCUAAGUUAUUAAUUGGUAAGUUUGAAGAAAGGCUCUUUACCAUUACAGCGGAUAAAUAUAUGAAAA